ACUCCUACGGGAGGCAGCAGUGGAGAAUCUUGCACAAUGGGCGAAAGCCUGAUGCAGCCACGCCGCGUGAGGGACGAAUGUCUUCGGAUUGUAAACCUCUUUCAGUCGUGAAGAAGCGCAAGUGACGGUAGCGACAGAAGAAGCUCCGGCUAACUACGUGCCAGCAGCCGCGGUAAUACGUAGGGGGCAAGCGUUGUCCGGAAUUAUUGGGCGUAAAGGGCGCGUAGGCGGUCCACUAAGUCGGAUGUGAAAUCCAGGGGCUCAACCCCCGAACUGCACCCGAUACUGGUGGACUUGAGGUAGGUAGAGGAGAGUGGAAUUUCUGGUGUAGCGGUGGAAUGCGCAGAUAUCAGAAGGAACACCGAUGGCGAAGGCAGCUCUCUGGGCCUUACCUGACGCUGAGGCGCGAAAGCAUGGGUAGCAAACAGGAUUAGAUACCCUGGUAGUCCAUGCCGUAAACGAUGGGUGCUAGGUGUGGGGAUCAGUUCACGAUCUCCGCGUCGAAGCUAACGCGUUAAGCACCCCGCCUGGGGACUACGGCCGCAAGGCUAAAACUCAAAGGAAUUGACGGGGGCCCGCACAAGCGGCGGAGCAUGUGGCUUAAUUCGAAGCAACGCGAAGAACCUUACCUGGGCUUGAAAUAUAGCUUACAACACCAGAGAUGGUGCGGAUUCGUUCGUGCUAUACAGGUGCUGCAUGGCUGUC
rnacentral:rRNA from 1 species